UUUGAUGCUUGUAGCAGUUGCAUAUUUGUUACAGGUAUCAAAUACUUUGAAUCCGAACUCGAAGAAUGUAUGCCCUGAAAAGUUGCCACCAAUAAAUGAUGAAUUUCGAAACAUUUCAAAGGAUGCGUUUGGAGUAAAAUGCUGUCCAAACUUCUUUGAAAAAAACGGCAUGUGUGAACCAUGUCCAGCGGGAACUUUCGGAAAGUCCUGUAUAAAUCAGUGUUUACCGGGUUCUUAUGGAAUGCUAUGCAAAGCUAAAUGCAAUUGUAGUUCAGUCCAAGAAUGUCACAAUAUCUUUGGAUGUGUUUGUAGAACAGGUCAUAGAGGAGACAAUUGUG